UUUCAGUAUCCUGUCAUGCUGUCUUGAUUUUGAUCCCUGCUGUCCUGUUUUAGACACACCAGGAAAAUGUCCCUAAAAAGUGUAGUUUGAGUGCAUCAUUAGACGUGCUUGUGCUAUACUCGGGGCACUAAGACCAUGCGGAAAGUGCUGAAACACUGAAACUGAAACCAUGAAUCCCAAGUAAGAAGGUAAGAGUCAAUUCAUUUUUGAAUUACCUAUUUUAAUCUAUAUACAUAUAACACUGCAGAGACACUGAUACUGAGUUACAGUGAGGGUAAGCAAACAAGAAACAUUUCAAAUUAGUUCAAAAUAGCAGAGCAAAAUUUUGCAAGUUGGCUCCAAAUUCUGCACAACAUGCUGUUAUACAGAAAUGCUGUUCUGGGUUUUAGAAUGUCAUAUAUGAAAUUUCCUGUGUUAUAUUGUUUAAAUUGUUUGAAAUCCAUGCUUUAUCAACAAACCAGUCAGGAUAUGAGAAGCUCUUCACUGAUCUAAUUAGGAGAGAAAUAGCAGAUAUACAGAAUCCUAUGGAGAUAUUGCAGGUGUCAUAGCAUCUUACAGAAAUACAAUAGACAAGAUAAUCCUGAGUUUUAUGGAAAAUCAAUUACUCUUUAGUUUCCCAUUCCCAGCGACUGAAACAUGAUAUAUUUCAUAUCACAAAUAAGCUGUACUUUUAGUUACCUAGGAAACCAAAACAAGUCACUAAGUGUACAACCACGUACAACCGUGCAUUCCGAUAAAGCGGGCACAUUGUCCGUCUCAAAGGCAGCAUUACUAUUUCUGUUCCGCUGCCUUUUGCAUGAACUGAUAUUUUUUGCUUUUUUCAGAGCAGUAAGUGUGAUCUUUUACAGGCGCAGAGUGUUCGCUGUCUCGCCAGACUGUGUUAGGGUAAUUGCUUUACCAUUCAGAAAUCUGUUUGGAAUAUUAUUUACAGAGUUUGUUAAAAUACAUAUUUAAUGCAAUAACAGAUUUUAAAUAACUUUAAAUUUCUUUGGAAACAGCCUUUUAUGUACGCCACAAACAGAUUGUGUCAGUGAAGAAAAACAGAAUAUGCAGCAGAUCCUGUGAAUGCCAGGUGCAGCUGAAUAUUUUUCUUUUGUAAAGUUCUGCCUUUACAGCUGUGGCAGUUCUAAGGUUAAAAUUUAUAUAUAUAUAUUUUUUAUCCUUAACAGUUACUUGAUUUUAUUACAUUUAACUAAUAUGCAAAAGCAUUCCUUGAGGUUUAGCUUUGGAAAUAGACAGUAUAUUGAAUAAGCAAUGUUUAUGCUAUUCAUUAAUAUGCAAAAAAACACCUCUAGUUGUGCUUUGUACUCUGUGGUGUACACACAUAACUAAGCAAUGACAUAGGUACAGAGGAUGUUUUAAUAAGAUGCCAGUUAUAAACCAUGCCUACAGCAUGUCCUCCCCUUGCCCAGACAGGUAUGAUUUCCUUCUUGGCGAGCUGCCAAUCACUGGCCUAACUAGGCCCUGUCCUUCAACAUGUCCAAAGGUUACUGUGAGCACCACUCCAGUAAAAUCUGCCUCCUGGUGUGACGUGGGAGUUCAGUAACUACCUGUAUCCCCUACCGAGACCAGGAACAGGUAAGGAGCCACUAAGAGACUAUGCAACAUGGCCAUUGAGAGUUCAUAUGCAAGCAGCUGACUGGCACAGAAUAAUGGAAAAUGUAGUCUAUCAACAACCAGAAGACCACACAACACUUUCUAAAUUUGUGUAGUCUACCACAACUCUAUAAACUGAGGGGGAAGACACCCUUUCGCACUGUAGAUUUUGUGGACUGCAUCUCCCCUGUUGAUUUGCCAGCAUUAAGGCUGUUAGAGCAUUAUGGGAGAUGUAGUCAAUAAUAUAUGUGAUGAAGUUUGCCUGUGCCUGCUAUAAACCCUGUUUAAGAAUACUGUUAUGUACCAGACUCCUUUCCAAACUAGCCUGUGUAUCCUACCAGAUAUGAAAAUGUUUCUAAUUAACUUUUAAUUAACCAAUGUUUUAUAUCACUAGCCAAUAUAUUGUUGCCCUUAUAACCUUGUAUCGAUCCUUUGAUAGUUAUGCUUGAAUAGUCUGUCUAAAUGUAAAAACUUAACGUGCAAGUAUACAUUCCUAAAAUCACAUUACUGUACAUCACAUAUCAUAUACACAAGGAAUUGCAAACCAAAGCCACAAUUACUUAUUUAGAUAAAUGAUUCAUUAAAUGAUUCACGUUAUAUAAAUAAUGCAUUAUUUUCAUAAAUUAUAAAUAAGAACAAUAUACAUAUUUAUUGAGAUUGAAAACUACACAAACAUAUUCUUUCUAUUUCCUAUUAUGACAGUUUCAAAGCAAGGGAUAUAUUUAUUUGCACUUGUUAUACUUGUAACAUUUGAGAGCUGGUUUAGAAUGCACAUGGCCUCAAUGUUGUGCGAUUAUUAAAAAUUGCUUCCAGAAAUUAUAUCACUACUGGAGAUAAUUAGCUUUGAACACUUACAAAAAUCCACACUGACUGUGAUUUUUGUUCGGCAACAGUAUUUUUUUCAGAGUGUUCCAGCAAUGGAACUCUAUAUGACCCAUUGUAACAGUUCUGGAGUACAAAGGGUUCAUGAAGAAGUAGAUCUGCCCUAAAUCUAUUUAAAAAAAAAAAAAAUUGCACUUCAAAAAAUAAAAAGUCUGAGGAAGGUUUUGCCAGAUGUUUGCUAGAAUGCAAGCUUAAGGUAAGAUCAUUUCACUGACUUUCUCUCAUUACUUUUAUAGAAAAUUUCAUUUAAAAAAAUACAUCUUGUCAAAUCCAGAUGUUCAGUGAUUAAUUGGAGAGAGUGAAGUCGAGGGAAGAAAUCCUGCUUUCUUUAGGGAUAGGAGGGGCGUUGAAUGUUGUCGGCCCCUCUAGCACAUACUUUGACAAUGUACUUUUGGGGCCAUUUAUCACAGUUUGAAAUGACAAAUUCCAUGCAAAACUUGUAGAAAACAAAGUAAGUUCAUUAUUAAAAACCUUAUUCUUGAAUCGUAUACUUGCACCUGAAUCUUUAACCUGUAGAUUCUGAAAUGUCUCUAUAGAACAAUGCAGAGAGGUCACCAACCACCAAAAUAAAAUGUAUAAAUAGCAAUGAUUUUAUAUACUUUAUGUCAGCUUACUUUAUUGCCUCUAAUAAGUAAAAAUGUGCAAACUUACAUAAUAUACACCCUCAUGAGGGCCAACUUGUAUUUUUCUUAAACGGUGUAGUCUUUUAGAAAUAUUAUUUAAUGUAAUUUUAUAGAAAAGUAUGUUUGGUCUAUUAUUGUUAUGUUCUACUAAAAGCGACAUCACCUAUUUCAGGAUACGGCAUUAUAUUUCAGAAGCUACUCCUAAAGCCUACCGUGUUGAGCUCUUAACGGGAAAUCUUGCUUAGUCUUUUAUCUUUAAGACAGAAAGUAAUAUUAAAACUAUUAACAGAAUGGCCAAGGCUAGAUUAUAUAAUGGAUAUCUUGGGUCUUUGUAUUGAAACAGGUGGAUACAAGCAUUUGACUUAUUUAUGUCUGUCUGUAGUAGGGAGUCCUGGAACCCAAUUCAGGAUAUCAGUGGCUCAGGAGAACAUAAAAAUAAGUAUCCAAAAACACUAUCUGGGAGGGAUAAGUCAAAGGCUUGUUCAGACAUAGCAGAAGGUCAGGGUAGGCAGCAAAGGUUUUUUUUUAAACAUUAGUUGAAUAUAAUUAAGUAGAUACUUACAAAAAAUGUGUCAUUUUCCAUAUUUUGUAAUGGAACUUCAUUAACUUUUCAGGAUACUCACCUCCUAUCCAACCGUUCAGUGCCAUGAAGUCGCUCUCUUUGAAAAGGUCUCUGAUGGCUUUCCUAAAGACUGGCACACACCUUUGCUGACAUUGAUGUACUGGCUUCAUUGACAGCACAUCUGUUCAGCUGAACAGCGUGAUGUCUGGCGUCACUCCAUCAACAUCCAAUGUCACUCCAUAUGAUGUCCAUGAAGGAAGGACUGGAGAACCAAAGAAACUGGGACAAUGUAGAGAAGGUAGGGGGGCUUAUACAGUAGACAGAAUUGGCUUUGGGUCUAUGCUGGUGUUCUGUCGGCCAGGGGUGGUAGAGCUAGUUUUUUAAUUGAAAAUUUCACAAAAUCUAAACAUUUACUAGUGAUUUUGCUAGCACAAUGCAUAGAUGAAAUUGCCUGCAGAAUCAAAAUAUGGAAAGUCAAAGUCAGAGUACAGGUAUCCUUAAGUGAUAAUGAAGUUCCAUGGAGUCAAGGACAAUAAUUAGCUGGGGGACAAUAUGGAAGGUAGCAAUGAGCAUAUAGUCUUCUGGUGUUUUAUAAUAGCUUGUAUGGAGGUCAGGGCAGGAGAGCAUCAUUCUAUGUAUUUCAGGAAUUUUGCAAAAAAUUACUUCAAUAAAAAGGCACAUGGUGUCCAACUUCCGUCAAGCACUGGAUUGUGGAGUAAGUCUCAAUUUUUCUGAUAGUGUUAUAUGGUGGUUGAAUGGUUAUUUUUUGUUGUUGUAACUUACAUAUUUAAAAUGUUGCCUUUUAAAAGACAGAUUUUAGAUUCCCCCAAUAAGUAGAGUGAUUCAGUAAUGAAAUUAAAGGGACGCUAUAGGCACCCAGACCACUUCAACUCAUUAAAGUGGUCUGAGGUCUAUGUCCAUAUUGUCCUUAGUGCUGCAAUGUCUCCUUCGCAUACAGUUGAUCAGGUUGUUGAUUGUGGCCUGUGGAAUGGUGGUCCACUCCCCUUCAAUUUCUAUGUGAAGUUGCUGGAUAUUGGCAGGACUUGGAACACGCUGUCGUAUACGCCGAUCCAGACCAUUCCAAACAUGCUCAAUGGGUGACAUGCCCUGUGCGCAUGCUGGCCAUGCAAAAACUGGGAUGUUUUCAGCUUCCAGGAAUUGUGUACAGAUCCUUGCAACAUGGGGCCGUGCAUUAUCACGCUGCACCAUGAGGUGAUGGUCGUGGAUGAAUAGCACAACAAUGGGCCUCAGGAUCUCAUCACAGUAUUUCUGUGCAUUCAAAAUGCCAUCAAUAAAAUGCACUUGUGUUUGUUGUCCAUAACAUACGUCUGCCCAUACCAUAAACCCACCGCCACCAUGGACCACUUGAUCCACAACAUUGACAUCAGCAAACCACUCACCCACAUGACGCCAUACACACUUUCUGCCAUCUACCCUGUACAGUGAAAUCCGUGAUUCAUCCGAGAAGAGAACACCUCUCCAAAGUGCAAGACGCCAUCGAAUGUGAGCAUUUGCCCACUCAAGUCGGUUACGAUGACGAACUGCAGUCAAGUAGAGACCAUGAUGAGGAUGACGAGCAUGCAGAUGAGCUUCCCUGAGAUGGUUUCUGACAGUUUGUACAAAUAUUCUUUGGUUAUGCAAACCGAUUGUUGCAGCAGCUGUCCGGGUGGCUAGUCUCAGAUGAUCUUGGAGGUGAAGAUGCUGGAUGUGGAGGUCCUGGGCUGGUGUGAUUACAUUUGGUUUUCGGUUGUGAGGCUGGUUGGAUGUACUGCCAAAUUCUCUGAAAUGCCUUUUGGGAUGGCUUAUGGUAGAGAAAUGAACAUUCAAUUCAAGGGCAACAGCUCUGGUGGACAUUCCUGCAGUCAGCACGCCAAUUGCGUGCUCCCUCAAAACUUGCAACAUCUGUGGCAUUGUGCUGUGUGAUAAAACUACACAUUUUAAAGUGGCCUUUUUUUGUGGCCAGCCUAAGGCACACCUGUGCAAUUAUCAUGCUGUCUAAUCAGCAUCUUGAUAUGCCACACCUGUGAGUUGGAAGGAUUAUCUCGGCAAAGGAGAAGUGCUCACUAACUCAGAUUUGUGAACAAUAUUUUGUGUACAGUGAAAAAGUCUUAGAUCUUUGAGUUCAGCUCAUGAAAAAUGGGGGACAAAAACAUGUACGUGUUGCGUAAGUAAUUUUGUUCAGUUUAUGUGUGUAUGUAUAUUGUUUAUAUAUUGUAUUUUUUGUAAUAUUGUAUCCUAUUGUAACAAUGCAAUAUUUUGUGGACCUAGGGCAUGUUUGAAAAUGAGAUAAAUCUCAAUGUAUCCAUCCUGGUAAAAUAUUUUAUAAAUAAAUAAAUACAAAUCUUAAAGGCAAAUACACAAGUUCCUAUUAACCCUAAGUAUAAACAUAUGUUCCUCUUAACCUUAAGUCUCCUCUAAUGCUAAAUACCCCCAAGGUAAGCUAUUCUUAAUCUACACAGUGAGGUACACUGCUUACCCUGCAUGUAGCUUUUCAUUUUGCAGGGUUUAACGGCACUGCUGUGCCAUAAAUGCAGUGUGAUUUUUAAGUAGUCUUUUUUUUUUUCCUGCAACUUUUUUAACUUUCCAAAAUACUCGGAUACGGAAGUCCAGAUGCUCUGGGGUUCACUGCUCAACAGUUUCUAAACUUCUUUCUGAUUCUGUCAAGAAACAUUCUCAUCUGCUUGGCUCAAAAGAGGAUAAUGUGUUAGUCAUGUCAUUCUAACCCAUAAAGGUUUAAAUCAGGCUUCCCCAAACUCUGACCCUCCAGAUGUUGCUGAACUACAACUCCCUUGAUUCUCAGCCUAUUUCAUUCAUAGAAUCAUGGGAGUUGUAGUUCAGCAACAUCUGGAGGGCCAGAGUUUGUGGAAACCUGGUUGAAAUGAUAACCUGAAUAGAGUAAGAUAAAGCACAGUUUAAUUUCUUGGGGAAACUAAGAUCUUUAAAGACAAAUCACCCAAUACAAAUUAAACACCAUUAGUAUUAUCUUUAAAAUAUAAAUAUUUUUAAAGUUUAUUUAAAAAGCACAAAUAAACUCUGAGUUCUGGAUUCAUCCAGUAAAAGGGAUAAUGAACCAAAUUUAGCUUCAAAGCCGGAUGCCAGCUGACACAUUUGUUUUUGAGAGCCUUUCCCGCGAGCUAAAACGUCUUUCUGACAAUUAAUUUGCAUGAAUAGGAUGUUUCCCUUAAAAUAAAAUAUUUUUCAGGUUUUUUAUUUUAUUUUUUAUUUUUAUUAUGAGCUGUCUGAUAGCUAGCACUAACACGAGUUUUAACCUCACAGAUGGCUAAACAACCAUUAUGCAACAUCUCUAGUAACCCAUUAGUUAAUCUUUAGCAAGAGGAAAUAUAUUUUAUUCUUUGAUUCUGUACAAUUUUCCUCUUAAUAUACUGAAAUAUUACACAGCAGUUUUUGUUUUCUCUCCAUUAAUCUUAAUCUUUGAAAAUUAUUUUCUUAACAACUGUUUCUGUAAAACCGUGUAAAAUGCUGAAAUCACUGCCGUUAUAUGCAAGUUUUACAGCUGAAAUGAAGCUAUUGCUACAGGAACAAAUUAACAACUGCAAACGACCGCAGUGUAGAUGCGUUAAAUCUCAAAAGCAAUGUGACAUUUAAUGUUCACUGUGUAUCUGUAAGAAAGCCUAAGCAUUUUUAAUUAUUGCAAAAGAGGGUAAAAACAUUUUAUCAUGUAUACUACUGUUUAUUGUAACUUUAGUAUUUGGCAAAAUUAGCAUAAAGAAACCUCCUUUAUCACAAACUGUUUCCAAAUGGCAAUAUAGAAGAUCAUUUGAGCAGUUAUUUAGAGAAUUUCAUUUUUAAAACUAUUUGCUCACUUUAUAGUAAAAUUAAUGUGUAGAUUCAUGUGUAGAUUCAUUUCUGCAGGUAACUGGUACUUUCCUGUAAGUAUUUGGUGUGUAAUUCAAUUAAAUAUGAAAUUUGGAUAAUUAAAUCUAAAUUAAUAAACUGAGAUUAAAACAGUCUCAGUUAUAACUAAGUUGGAGCAUUUUUACAGAUUAUUCAAUUUUGCCUAAAUGUUGCCAUCCGGAUCUAAUGUAGAAACAUAGAAACAUAGAAUGUGAUGGCAGAUAAGAACCAUUCGGCCCAUCUAGACUGCCCAAUUUUCUCAAUACUUUAUUUAGUGCCUGGCCUUAUCUUAUAGUUAGUUACAUAGUUACGUAGUUACAUAGAUGAAAAGAGACUUGCGUCCAUCAAGUUCAGCCUUUCUCACAUUAGUUUUUUGCUGUUGAUCCAAAAGAAGGCAAAAAAACCCAGUUUAAAGCACAAUUUUGCAACAAGCUAGGAAAAAAAUUCCUUCUUGACCCCAGAAUGGCAGUCAGAUGUAUCCUUGGAUCAAGCAGUUAUUACCCUACAUUGAAAGAUUAUAUCCCUGAAUAUUCUGUUUUUGCAAGUAUGCAUCUAGUAGCUGUUUGAACAUCUGUAUGGACUCUGAUAAAACCACUUCUUCAGGCAGAGAAUUCCACAUCCUGAUUGUUCUUACAGUAAAAAAACCUUUCCUUUGCCUUAGACGAAAUCUUCUUUCUUCCAGUCUAAACGCAUGGCCUUGUGUCCUAUGUAAAGUCCGGUUUGUGAAUAGAUUUCCACACAAUGGUUUGUAUUGGCCCCGAAUAUAUUUGUAUAAUGUUAUCAUAUCCCCUCUCAGGCGACGUUUUUCUAAACUAAAUAGGUUUAAAUUUGUUAACCUUUCUUCAUAGCUGAUAUGUUCCAUUCCUUUUAUUAAUUUUGUAGCCCGCCUCUGAACUUUUUCUAGUGCCAUAAUAUCCUUCUUUAGAACAGGUGCCCGAAAUUGCACAGCAUAUUCAAUAUGGGGUCUUACCAGUGAUUUAUAAAGAGGCAAAAUGAUAUUCUCGUCCCAAGAAUGAAUGCUCUUUUUCAUGCAUGACAAUACCUUACUGGCCUUGGCCACUGCUAUAACAAUUCCCAAGUCCUUUUUGUGUGUUGUUAUCCCUAAUUUGUUUCCAUUAAGGGUAUACGUUGCUUGUGUAUUCUUUACGCCGAAGUGCAUAAUUUUGCAUUUUUCAACAUUAAAUUUUAUCUGCCAUUUGAGUGCCCAGUCCCCCAGUCUAUCUAAAUCCCUCUGCAGCAAAGUAAUAUCUUGCUCACAUUGUAUUAUUUUACAAAGUUUUGUGUCAUCUGCAAACACUGAAACAUGACUUUCAAUGUUGUCAUCAAGAUCAUUUAUAAACAUGUUAAGGAACAGACCCCUGAGGGACACCACUUGCCACCUCUGUCCAGCUUGAAAAUUUACCAUAAAUGACAACUCUUUGUACUCUGUUUUUAAGCUAAUUUUCUACCCAAGAACAAGCAUUUUCAUUUAGACCGAUUUCCUUGAGUUUGAACACUAAUCUAUUGUGUGGAACUGUAUCAAAUGCCUUGGCAAAAUCCAAAUAGAUCACAUCCACGGCAACACCCUGAUCUAUACUUCUACUUACUUCUUCGUAGAACACAAUCAAGUUAGUUUGACAUGACCUGUGCUUCAUAAAACCGUGAUAAUUUUUGCUGAUAACCAUGUCUAUCCCACACAUGCUUAAACUCCUUUACUGUGUUAACCUCUACCACGUCAGCUGGAAGGCUAUUCCAUGCAUCCACUACCCUUUCAGUAAAGUAAUACUUCCUGAUAUUAUUUUUAAACCUUUGUCCCUCUAAUUUAUGACUAUGUCCUCUUGUUGUGGUAGUUUUUCUUCUUUUAAAUAUAGUCUCCUCCUUUACUGUGUUGAUUCCCUUUAUGUAUUUAAAUGUUUCUAUCAUAUCCCCCCUGUCUCGUCUUUCCUCCAAGCUAUACAUGUUAAGAUCCUUUAACCUUUCCUGGUAAGAUUUAUCCCGCAAUCCAUGAACCAGUUUAGUAGCCCUUCUCUGAACCCUCUCUAAGGUAUCAAUAUCCUUCUGAAGAUACGGUCUCCAGUACUGUGUACAAUACUCCAAGUGAGGUCUCACCAGUGUUCUGUACAAUGGCAUGAGCACUUCCCUCUUUCUACUGCUAAUACCUCUCCCUAUACAACCAAGCAUUCUGCUAGCAUUUCCUGCUGCUCAAUUACAUUGUCUGCCUACCUUUAAGUCAUCAGAAAUAAUGUGCUACAAUUACAGUUUUCAUAAAUGACCCCCAUAGUGGUUGUUCACUAAAGGAGGUUAGGUGUAUUAACCAAAAUAAAAUUAUCAAAAUAGCAAAGUUAUGAAAUUAACUUUUAGAUUUUUUUCCAGUUUUUGUACUUUGGUGAGUAUUUUGCAAUUAUUGUCUUGAUACUCCAAAGCUCCAAGUUUAAAGAAACACUAUAGGGUCAGGAACAAAAACAUUUAUUCCUGGCCCUAUAGUGUUAAAACCACCAUCUAGCCCCCCUGCCUCAACCUCCCCACCUUCCUAAAUAUAGCAAAAUAUUACUUUUAUUUCAGUCUGCUGCUGCUGACUUUUCUCCUGAUCUGCCUGAUUGGCUGACAUCAUCAGAAGUGGUAAACUCAGCCAAUCACAAUACUUUCCCAUAGGAUUGGCUGAGACUAUCAAGGAGCAGAUCAGGGGCAGAGCCAGCACAAGAGUCAACACAAGUCAAACACAGCUCUGGCCAAUCAGCAUCUCCUCAUAGAAAUGCAUUAAAUCAAUGCAUCUUCAUGAGGAAAGUUCAGUGUCUCCAUGCAGAGGGUGAAGACACUGAAUGUCAGUCACACUGUGCAGCACUGCCCCAGGAAACACCUCUUGUAACCAUCUGAUGAGUAGCCAAUGGAGCUAUCCCUACGCUGAAAUGUAAACAUUGCCUUUUCUCUGCAAAAAGCCUGAAGGGAACAAUUCUACUCACCAAAACAAAUAGCGGCAGUUGUUCUGGUGACUAUAGUGUCCCUUUAAUCUCAAUGUUCCCAAGGUUAUUCACACCCUUUGAACUACGUAACCCGACUUGACAUGCAACAUUGAAUUCAGUCCAUACCCUAAAAAUAUAUUUGUGUAACAAUAGACACUUCUAUAAAAGCUACGUGUAGCCUUUCCCUACUUCUUUAAUAUUUCCUUUAUAUGAUAUAUAUGGCGGUAAAAAAAAACUGAGAUACACAUACAUAUGUCUAAAAGUACCAAUGUAUUUAUUUCUGUUCUUUUUUUAUUGAUAUAUAAGACAGCAUAAUAGAAGAUAUAGUGAAUAUGCAUUACCCAUCCAUAUGCUCUCAUUUCAACCAUCAUUCUUCCUUUAUAUUAAUUCUCUAUAAUUUUGAGAGAAAGCAGAAAUUGAUAAAUAUAUGAAUAAAUAAAUUAUAAUUUUCAACUGCAAAAUGUACAUUUCUGUAUAUCAUGAAAUACAUGUACAUAUAUUUUUCAUGCAUGCCAUAUUAUAUUUUUACAUUACUUACUCUUGUAUCUUUAGAAGUUGAGCAUGUCUUGUUUGCUUCAUAUGCACACACUGUAUAUGACAUCAACAACAGAAUUUAGAGUGAUAGUGUUUAAAAGAAACCAGUCCUAUACGGACAUGGAUAUACCCGUAAUAUCUGAUAAAGUGAUUUUGUAAAUGCGGAAGGUUUUUUUUUUAAAAAAAACAUAUCAGAAUUAACCAAAAUCAAUUGAAUCCACUGCUUACAAUUUAAAGAUAUAAAGAAAUGAACUUUCUUUUCUAAGAUGGGUAAUGUUGCCAUUGAGAUAUGGACUUGUAACGGAUGAUGCUAAAGCAGGAGGUUGUUUUAAACAAUCUGAAUACAUUUUUAGAAUGAACACAUUGAAAAUAGUAUGAUUUCUGUGUCAAACACAUAUAUUAAAUCUAAUAACUUCCCUUUCAGCUAUUAAAUGUAUAAGAUACACCAUUAAUAAUCUGUUAUGGCCCAUCAAAAUAAUAUUUAAUAUUCAUAUGACAGCACAGUCUCUGCAUACAGCAAUCCACAUUUCCAGCAUUAGACACAUAAUUAGUAAACAUUAAAAGUAUCAUAUCCUGGAGUCUGUUUCAAAGCCUAAUGAUGUUUUAUUAAAUUUGUUCAUCUUAAUAUGUGUAGGCCAGAGACAUUGCAAUGUGUUAUUUGCAUUUUAUUGCAUCUUUAUUCACCGUCCAGUUUUGCAGUGUAGAGAUGUGGAAAACCUACGAGUUUGCUUCAUAAAUAUUUAUGUUAGGUCCUGUUAAUCAAGACAAAACAUGGAUUGAGCCAUAGAUAUAUUAACCCCUUAAGGACACAACUUCUGGAAUAAAAGGGAAUCAUGACGGAAUAUUUCCGUCAUGUGUCCUUAAGGGUUAAAAAAAAGAAGAAAAAAAAAAUUGGUCAUCUUUCCUUGGCAUUAUAAAAUCAUAGACUGAUUUUUAUUAUUUGUUCUUUGCAAUAGCCUUAUAUAGUGUCAGGACUUUAGCUCCUAGUAAUAGGUUGCCCAGUGGACACAUAGGUCAUGCACCGGAGCUACUGUUGGGCAGUGCCAGUGCAGGAGCCUAUUACCAGCAUUAAUGAAAGACCAGGAACUACUACUGGGAAGAUAUGGGGAAGUUCUGUCAAAACAGUAUUAUACUUAUUAUUGUACUAGAAAUAUCUUAUUAAGAUUUGUUGUUGAAGUAACAGGCCCGAUAACAACCUUAACUCAUUAAGUAGUCAGUGGGUGGCCAGUGAUAGACAAGAGCAUCAAGUGAUGUUCUCAGCCUAUUGCCAGUUGCAUAACAACACUUUCUUCAUAGUGGGGUGGCCAAGAGGAGGCAGGUCAUCAUUCAGUGAUUCUGGGUGCCAGAGACCGAUGUUAAAUCAUUGGAAAAUGUUUAGAUGCCUGCCAUUAAGAAAGCACCUUGAUGCUCCUGCUUCAAUAACAACUUCAAUAGGUCGAAGUUGUCAUGGAUAUGGGAGGGUUCCCUUAAUUUUGAUAUUUGUCCUUAAAGGUGUUGUAUCACUUGUGUUAUUUUCAUUAUUUCUUCUAUGCAAUUUGUCAUUUAAAAACCAGUGUGCCUGAAUUUAUUGAUAUAAAUGUCUUUUCCCAGACUCUCUUUUCCAAGGCACCGAUUUGAAGAUGUUCAGUUACUAUUCUACUAUCGAUGGUCUGUAUUCUGUUACAAAAGAUAACUGUAACUCUGCUUACUGAAUAGCAGUUCUUUUGACUACUAUGGGAAAAUCAUUAUUGAAUUACGAGAGAUAUGUUUAAAGUAUAAUCUAUUCUCAUAACUGAUAUUAAAAAUUGUUACAUUUUUAAACUUGUUUUACUAUGUGAUAAGAAAUGUUAUCUGUACCUAGCCAUAAAAGUGGUGACAAUACUUUGGUAUCUAACUAUCACCCGAUAUCAUUGCUCCCGGUAUUGUCAAAAAUCUUGGAAAAUGCGUCCACACGCAACUAUGUGACUAUUAUCAACGAUCAAAUUAUCUGACGCCUGAUCAGUCAUGCUUUUGUCCAAAUCACUCAACUUCGACUGCCCUCUUAAAAGUUUGCAAUGACAUCCAAAUUGGCAUGGAACAAGGAGACUUAACUGGAACUAUUUUCCUUGAUUUUGCCAAGGCCUUUGACACAGUAGACCAUGGCAUUCUUUUGCAAAAACUUAAAAAUUCAGGCAUUGGUGAUGUCUGCUAACCUGGUUUAGAUCGUAUGUUUCAGACCGAUUGCAAUAUGUGGCCAUUUCUGAUAGCGCUUACCUCCCUCUUCCAUUCACGUGUGGUGUUCCCCAAGGCUCCAUACUCGGCCCCCUGCUAUUCACAUUAUUUAUAAAUGAUCUGCCUAAUGUCUGCAAAUCCUCAACUGUACACAUGUAUGCAGAUGACACUGUACUCUACGCUAGUAAACCCAAGCUACCGCAGCUUGAGGCUAAAAUUCACAGAGGUAGAAACGUGGAUAGUGGAUAACAAACUCUUCCUAAACACUGACAAAACUGAUAUUUGGAGUCUGACUGCUAUUUUGGGGUCAAGAAGGAAUUUCUUUCUAGUUUGUUGCAAAAUUGGAAGCGCUUCAGACUAGGUUUGUUUGCCUUCUUCGGAUCAACAGCAAAAACAUAGGAGGAAGGCUGAACUUGAUGGACGCAAGUCUCUUUUUAGCUAUGUAACUAUGUAACUAUGUAACAUAAACAACAAAAUCAACAACUGCGUAUCAGAACAAAUUCAAAUAGCACACUGACAGCAGUCUGCUCUUUUAAAUAUCUAGGUAUGUUGCUAGACCCCAAUCUAUCCUUUGGCCUUCACAUUGAAAAAAUCUCUUCAAAACGUUACUCAAAACAAAGGCCCUGUACAGAAACAAAUCCUGCCUAAGCCCUACAGGAAGGAAACAUAUGCUAAUGCUAAUGCCGGUCAUUGAUUAUGGGGAUGUAGUGUAUGCACCUGCAUCGCAAACCCACCUUAAUAAACUUAAUACGUUAUAUAAUUUAUGCUGCCCCUUUGUACUACAAUGUAAUUACUUUACCCACCACUGUGACAUGUUAAAAGAGCUAAACUGGCUGUAGCUGGAAUCCUGACGCACCCUUCAUCUUUCCAGCCUUGUGCAUAAGACCAUUUCUGGGAAGCUCCCACCCUAUCUGAGUAGAAUGCUCUCCCCUGCUGUCCCCACUUCCUAAAACCUCCGAUCCAAUACUAGCACGAUAUUUAGCAUACCACAAUACAAAAAUAAAGUGACUCGACCCUCCUUUUCCUACAGAGCACCGCAAUUAUGGAAUAACCUCAGGGACACAGUCAAAUCUUCAUUCAGUCUAAAAUCUUUUAAGAGAUCUAUGGCAAUAUACCUCAGCACAAAAUGCACCUGUCAUGGUUGAAUAUAUUUUUUAACUGUUAUGCAUUAAAUUUAUAUAUGUGUGUAUGUAUAUAUAUAUUUAUAGUUUGUAUAUUGUUUUUUUGUAAUAUUGUAUCCUAUUGUAACAAUGUAAUGUUUUGCGGACAAAGACCUAGGACAUACUUGAAAACUAGAGAAAUCUCAAUGUAUCCAUUCUGGUAAAAUAUUUUAUAAAUAAAUAAUUUUUCGAACAUUUGAUUAGAAGACUGGCUAUUUUUGUCAUAUUUAAGGAAAUAGGUUUAUGUUGCAAUUCAGAAAUAAGAAACACUGAAAGGCUGAAUUUGAUGAAUGUGCAUGAUUAAAUCUAAAUGAUAUAACUAAAGUGUAUGCAGACAUAUUUUAUAAAGAUAAUUUGUUGUAAAAAAAAAUAGAGUAAUAUUCAGAAAGGGGUUAUACUAAUUAUGUUUUAAGGGGCUCUCAUCCUGCAUUAUAAGAAAGCUAUUCUGGCAUUAAUUAUCAAAAUAAAAUCCUGUUUUCCAAAAUGUGUUACUUUAGACACCAUUAGCUUCCUGGUAAGUAAAUCAUUGAAUGGUAAAUUAAGGAAAUAUGUCAUGGCAUAUUGUCAUCCCACCUGGACUAAAAUAUAUUAGCAUUUUUUCUACAUGCAUUUCAACUAGCGUUAUGUUGAAGUAUUUCAGAACCACAAAAAAAAAGAAAUGAUAGGGUAUAAUGCAAUCCGGAAUGUAGAAGGUACACCUAAACAUGUUUUCAGAUGGUAAAUCUUAUUACCAUAACAAGGUACUAUGGCUUCACUUGGUAAGCAUCACUGCAGAGUGAAGCAUUUUUUAGGAGUUCAUUGCCAUUUACAGUUUCUCUACAAAGAUUCAAUGAGAGAGUAUUCAGCGGUGGCAGAUAAAUUAAUUCCUGUGCAAUGUGAAUACGAACUCUGGAUCAAAGAGGAAGGUGAGUAAAACUUAAUGGACUAGAUUUUCUUUUACUUUGUUAUGCACCGCAACAUGAACGUGGGGACAUCUAUACAUGUUGUUGGGAAAGAAAGGGCUAAAAGUGACAAUAUUAAGGGGACAAUAAUUUACAAAUCAUGGUUUGUGCUCAAUUCUCAUCAUGAGAAUCAAUUUAGAAAUGCUUCUCAAAAAUAUGUUUGUGGAGUGUACUGUAUUAAAGCAAUAUCACAGUUUAGUUUGAACCCUCCAUUUAAUGUAAUAGUUACAUCAUAUAUUAUAUUAUAUUAUACCUUAAUUAUUUCUGAGUUUUAAUAAAGCAGAUUAUCAGGCGCUGAUCUCUAAGGUCAUUUCAAUAUUCAUCAUAUAACUACACCUAGUGUGUAGGAAGCAGUGGUACAGGGGUGGAAUAAUCACCAUAAAUAAUUUCAGGAGCGUUGUAAAUGGAGAGAUGGCCUCCAGUUAUGGAAGGUCACACCGACGGGUUCUUAUUAACCCCUUAAGGACCAAACUUCUGGAAUAAAAGGGAAUCAUGACAUGUCACACGUCAUGUGUCCUUAAGGGGUUAAACAGUGCAAUGACCAGUUCUAAGGAAAAUAUAGAUUGUCCUGUGCAUAUAUUAUACAAAAGCAUUAUAGAGCUCUAUCGUGCACUACCUAAUGUUGUUGAGAUGAUGCGGUCACAUAAUCUAGUCCUUAUUUUUGUGUACUUAUUACAUUUACCUACAAUAAACUUAAUUUCUUCUUCUUCCUAGGUUGUUGCUGUCCCAUGUCCCCACAAAGACUCCUCAAGAAAUAGACCCUACUAUAAUUAUAAUUAUUAUUAUUAUUUUACUAUUAAUAUAGCGCAAGCAAAUUCC